UACGUAGGGUGCGGGCGUUGUCCGGAAUUAUUGGGCGUAAAGGGCUCGUAGGCGGUCUGUCACGUCGGGAGUGAAAACUCAGGGCUUAACCCUGAGCCUGCUUCCGAUACGGGCAGACUAGAGGUAUGCAGGGGAGAACGGAAUUCCUGGUGUAGCGGUGAAAUGCGCAGAUAUCAGGAGGAACACCGGUGGCGAAGGCGGAUCUCUGGGCCUUACCUGACGCUGAGGCGCGAAAGCUAGGGGAGCGAACAGG
rnacentral:rRNA from 1 species